rnacentral:rRNA from 1 species
CCUACGGGAGGCAGCAGUGGGGAAUAUUGCACAAUGGGGGAAACCCUGAUGCAGCGACGCCGCGUGAGUGAAGAAGUAUUUCGGUAUGUAAAGCUCUAUCAGCAGGGAAGAAAAUGACGGUACCUGAUUAAGAAGCCCCGGCUAACUACGUGCCAGCAGCCGCGGUAAUACGUAGGGGGCAAGCGUUAUCCGGAUUUACUGGGCGUAAAGGGGGCGUAGACGGCAUCACAAGUCUGGAGUGAAAUGCCGGGGCUUAACCCCGGAACUGCUUUGGAAACUGUGCAGCUAGAGUGCAGGAGAGGUAAGUGGAAUUCCUGGUGUAGCGGUGAAAUGCGUAGAUAUUAGGAGGAACACCAGUGGCGAAGGCGGCUUACUGGACUGUAACUGACGUUGAGGCUCGAAAGCGUGGGGAGCAAACAGGAUUAGAUACCCGAGUAGUC